rnacentral:tRNA from 1 species
CGGGUGUAGCUCAAUGGUAGAGCACCAGCCUCCCACGCUGGCGAUGCGGGUUCGAUUCCCGUCACCC